rnacentral:SRP_RNA from 1 species
CGCACUAGUCGGGGAGAUAGCGGUGCCCUGUUGCCUGCAAGCCGCUAUAGCAGGGAUGAAUCCCCACACCCGGGCUCACGCUGUAUUGUCUGACCGCUGUAAGUGGUGUUGACGAAUCGGUCUUGCGCAACGGAAUCCCGUGAACCAUGUCAGGCGGGGAACCGAGCAGCAUUAAGCGGACCCUUUCGUGUGCCGCGAGGUUGCCGUUUCCGAGCUAACUGCUUCGGUACCGGAUAUAGCGUCGGUUCAAAUGUGGGUG